rnacentral:tRNA from 1 species
GGGCCCGUAGCUCAGUUGGUCAGAGCAGUCGACUCAUAAUCGACGGGUCGCCGGUUCAAGUCCGGCCGGGCCCACCA